UUUAACUAUGAACUCCAGUGCAGAAAAACGAUGGAAAUAAUUUAUUUUUUAAAUUUAAUUUUUAGUAUCACAUUAUUAUGCUUUGAAAUUGGUGUUCACUUGAUUUACAGAUGUAAUGAUUGUGUGUGUAAUUUCUAUCUUUUUAUGUGAGUUUUUAAAUGUGCAUUUGCUUCAGAUUGUGUUGAUUGAACACUGCGUCUAAAAUGCCUUGAGCAUCCUGACUGUAGGGUUGAGAAUGUUAAAAUGAUAAAAGUAAAAUCUAAGAAAAAAAAUAAAUAAACAAUAAGAUAAUGUACGAAUGCCUAAAACUAUAUUUUACCCUCUUUUUUUUCAUUUUAUAAAAACAAAAGUACACAUAUAUCUCUCAUGUUUGGUCUCUGUGUGUUGUAAACGAACCCAUAUUUAUAAUUCUGAUUGGAUUGUGACCAAUGCGUCGGUUUAUAUCAGUGAUAAAAAAUAUAUAUUUUAAGUUUUACUUUAUUUUUAAAUGGGAGAUUUUAUCCAUGGUUGGAUCCUGAGAGACACAGUGGUGUCGUUGAAUAGUUGCUCUUUUUUUGGCAAAACUCUGCAACAUUUCUAUGUUCAGAAUUACAACAAUUAUGACUACGACAAUGAAAACAAUUAAAGAUAUUUAUUUCACCUUGUUGGCAUUUUUAAUGAGCAUGUAUUUCCAUGUCAAAGUUUCUCUUAGCCACAGCCUAUAAUUAGGAAAAUAUAAAUAAAUUCUCCUUGUAGUGAUUAUCAAUUUCUUUUAGUUGGAAUAUUUUAAUAAUUUAUAAAUGUCCCUGAAGAUAAUUUCAGGUGAAAAGGCUGAAUAAUAUUAAAUUGAGAAGGAUAAAUAAAUAAAAUUAUAUAUGAUAAUUGUGGUUGAUUGAUGAGGUUGUUUGUUCACUGCCCUCCGGUGGCCACAGUUUGUAACUACACCUACGUCUUCUGAAGUCGUUACACCCGAAGUAUUGGGGUCAAUAACUGUAUAGAAAUGAAAAGAAUAUUUUAAAAAUUAUACCAAAACAUUAUAGGAUCAGACCUCAGCUCUAAUUAAUUAUUCGUUACAGAUCUAGUUAGAUAUAGUCCACGAAAAACAAAUCUAUAACCAGUUAAUGUCCAAACACAGAGCCGUAUGUUAAAGUCAGGCCCUCUUGUGGCCGUAAAGUGUAACUACAGCCAAGCUAGUAGUAGAGCUAACCAUCGUCCCCAUUGAUACUGGCAGUGUUUUCUUUAAAAUAAGGGGCCAGUUUUCAACACACAGAUCAAAAAAAUUCAAGCACAUCAUCAAAUAUCUGUUUUAUUUCAUUGAUUAUUUUAGUCGUGCGUUACUGUCGAUAUCGUGUAGCUUGAUGGUAGCGGAAUAAAUUUACCAAUCGGGAACAUGUAACUAGCAGAAGUGCUACAGCUUCAGUUUACUGUACGACUUAUCAUAAAAUAAAUAAAUGCAAAACUAUCAGAAAAAUGCAAAUCGCAUUUGUAAGUUGUGGAACAGCGUCAAUCCGACGGGUCAUUUAUGUGAAAUAAAGUAGUUAAAUAGAGCAGACACAGAAUAUCCGCUGUAAUUAGCACCAGCUAACCUAGCCUAGCCUGUAGCUCUCACUCUAUCAUGUCUAUGGACUCACAUACAGACAAAGAGUGCUGCUGCCCUCUAGUGGACAGAAACUGUCAUUACACGUGAAGCGUUAAGUUAAUUAAAAUUACAUACGGACAGUACUUCCGGUUAACAUUCAAAAGUAAAAGGCGAAACAUCUGUGUGCUGUAGUGAAUGAAAAUAAAGUACCCCUUAUAAAUGAAACUGUAGCAAGAAGGACUGUUAUUAUUUUUCAUAUUACUUUUAAAUAUAAAUGCUUGUAAAAUAUUAAAAUAUUUCAUGCAUAUUUGUACUUGAAAAUAAAUAAUAUAUAUUUUUAUAUACGUUUUUUUUUAUCAUAAUUUUAUUUAUAUUUUUUAUUAUUUAGCAUUAAGACAGAAAUUCUGGUAAAUAACAGAUUGUAUUUUAAGAAGUUAUGAGUCAAAGUUCUGUGUAAUUAUCUGGAAGAAAGAUUAGUUGUAAAUAAAGUGUUAUAAAACGUCUGUGAUUUGUAGACCAAUAAAAAGCUUGUAUCCUGGUAAAAGCCAAUAUUUUGUAAAAAUAAUGUGAUUUUGCAUUUUCUAUAUUAUUUUCUUUAUUGAAACUGUCAGGUGAUUUGUUGGCCUGUGUGUCCAUGAACUUCAAGAGUUUUCAGUAAAUUGUUCUUAACAUAGCAAAAGUACAAAUGUGAUAAUAGUUUAUUUUAAUUUGACUGAUGCUGCUAUUAAUCAUAGGCCAUAAGCACAGAUUCAUUUAUUGUGGAUUUAUCCGUCAGAUAUUUAUUCUUUGAGUAUUUGAAUAAUAAGUACUAAGUACUAUGUCAUUAUUACACCACAUUGUUUUUAUGAUCAUCAAAUAAUUCACUGAGCUGGAUACAUGUUUUUUAUGGAGAAUCAUAUUCUGAAAGUGACCAACAAUUCCAGAUGUGAGAAUAAAUAUAGUUCAUUCAAAAUAUAAAAUCUUUCAUAUUUCCUUUGGUACAAACUCCAAUAAAAAUGUGGAAACAAACAA